GUGUGUCACUAGGGGAGCCCGUGCGGGCUGAGAUUGGAUCGAUAGAUCCUAGACCCUCUGAACCUGAUCUGGAUUGUGCCAGCGUAGGGAAGUGGAGAGCGUUAUAC
rnacentral:ncRNA from 2 species